AUUACUUGUUAGCUUUUUCAAACUAUAAUAAACUGUUGGUUGAAGAGUUUUAGUUAUUUUUCCCACGGCUUUGAAUUUUCUGGCACGUGCCACUUUGCACAACAGCCGCCUUACAAUUGGUUUAAUAAUGAUUCAGUGUGUGGUACUCCUCAAAACAUGGGGCAGCACACAAAGGAGUGUUGCACUGCACACACAUGUAUUUGGUGAGGCGCCUCUGCUUGCUCUUGCGUGAGGCAGACCUUGCAGUGUCGCCUGGUCCGGCUGCCCUGGGAAGUGGUCUGAGGUACCUCAGAUGGAAAAUGUCUGGCUGUAAGGCGCAGAGGAGUGUCCAAAGCAGGACGGCCCCCUUUGGAUGGACAUCGGGAUGUGCUGUACUCCUCCAGCAGUACCACUUAGUGGACUUUCUGGCGCACUCAAGAAAACCAGUCAUCAUGUCAGCUUUGUCAACAGCCCCCAUUUUUUUGUUGUAUUCUAGCACACACACUGGCUUCAUCUUUGGAUGCCCAGUGACGUGAUCGAGCUUCCUUGUGGCUGCCAUUCCAGUUGGGUGGACUGUGGUAAGGACAUGGCAUCGCUUUCCUGUUUGCACGCACAGUCCCACAGGCUCCAGUGCCAAGAGACAGGAGGUGUUGGAAAAGUGUGGGACUGCUGUACCAGUUGUCCACAUAAAGGACAUGACCCUUUCUGAGAUGGAAUGAACUGACGAAAUGCCAGCCUGCCUUUCCACUUCAUCAGGGGCUCAUCCACGCAGAGAUCUCUGUAUGGCACAAAGAUGCGACGGAAGGAGGUGAGAGCACUGAAUACAUUUCAGAUUUUUUUCAGAGGGUCAUUUAAAAUUUCUGUUGUGUUAUUUGUAAAGUGAAGGCAGCGGAGGAGCAUGAGAAAGCGGCCCUGCGAAAAUAAAGACCGGAAGAAUGGUGUCAAGAACAUGGGGUCUGUGCUCCAAUAAUCACGGAGUGACGUUUUUUUGACCAUCCCCAUUAGGAGAACUGAUGCCAGAAAUGUGUACAUUUCAGGGAUGCUUGUAGGAGCCCAUUUAACCAUUUUUCCUUUCAUCUCUCCUUCUUGUAUUUCUGAGGCAUAGCGGUUUGUUUCCUCAACAAUUUCUCCGACAACAUCUUCUGUGAGGAACAUUUUGAAACAGUUGACCUCACUGGGGGAUUCUGGAGGAUUUUGCACUCCACACAGUUGGUCAUCGAAAUCCCCUGGGCCUGGAGGAUUAAAAUGGUUUGUUACCUUCCAGGAUGAUGAGUUUACCCCGUCUGCCUCAGCGAAAACAUGGGCGGGUGUUGUGGAAGUCUCUUCAUCUUCAGUCCUGUCAAGAGCUUCAAGGUUUGAGGGAACCUCCUCAUCGCUGUCACUGUCUGCCUCACUGUCAAAAUCCUCAUCAGAAUUAAA